UGGGGAAUAUUGCAUUCCUGGGGGAAACCCUGAUGCAGCCAUGCCGCGUGUGUGAAGAAGGCCUUCGGGUUGUAAAGCACUUUCAGCGAGGAGGAAAGGUUGGCGCCUAAUACGUGUCAACUGUGACGUUACUCGCAGAAGAAGCACCGGCUAACUCCGUGCCAGCAGCCGCGGUAAUACGGAGGGUGCAAGCGUUAAUCGGAAUUACUGGGCGUAAAGCGCACGCAGGCGGUUGGAUAAGUUAGAUGUGAAAGCCCCGGGCUCAACCUGGGAAUUGCAUUUAAAACUGUCCAGCUAGAGUCUUGUAGAGGGGGGUAGAAUUUUUUGUGUUUCUUUUGAAAUGCGUAGAGAUCUGGAGGAAUACCGGUGGCGAAGGCGGCCCCCUGGACAACGACUGACGCUCAGGUGCGUAAGUGUGGGGAGCAAACAGGAUUAGAUACCCUGGUAGUCCACGCCGCAAACGAUGUCGAUUUGGAAGCUGUGUCCUUUGAGACGUGGCUUCCGGAGCUUACGCGUUUAAAUCCACCGCCUGGGGGAGUACUGCCGCAAGGUUA
rnacentral:rRNA from 1 species